UGUACAUAUUAAAAAAUGGAAAAGAAGAACAAAUGGAUGGAAGACACAUUUGUUUUUCUUAAUUAACAAGACUGACAUAUAUUGUUGCCUCAAACUAUCAUAAUUUCAUGCCUUUAAUUCACUUAUCCUGUUCUUUGUUAAUUGUUUGCUCCUCUUCCACACCCCCCCAACAAAAAAAAAAAAAUGAUGCAGAUGCAUUUUGAUGAAGGGUUGUCUGCUAGACACAAAGGUGGUGACUCUACCAGGCUUGUAACAAAAGGUCUAAGAGGGAAAAGUGCCUCAGAGAAGCUCUCUGAGGAAGGUCUUGUCAAAUUUUCUGCACGGGUAUCAAUCCAGGUUGAAGUUGUUAAAUCCUUCAACGAUCCAGAAGGCCCACAGUGGAAAAAUUCCCUUUUUGGGAUCCAAAUGACUUAGAAACUUUCAGGCGAAGGUGUAAGAUUGCAGAGAUUCUUGUGGAAAAGAAUUUUGAUUUGGCGUUCCAAGUGAUCUAUGAAUUCAAUCUUCCUCUGUUGACAUAUAUGCUAGUGUUGCUGCAUCUCUUGCUGAAAGAAAAGAGGCAGCCAGUUGACAGAAUUCUUCAAAAACAUUAAGGGCACAAUAGAUGACGAUGAUUGGGACCAGGUCUUGGGUGCUGCAAUAAAUGUAUAUGCUAACAAGCACAAAGAACGUCCAGACCGUCUAAUAGACAUGUUAACUAGCAGCCACAGGAAGGUUCUUGCUUGUGUGGUCUGUGGUCGUCUAAAAAGUGCAUUUCAAAUUGCUUCUCGGAGUGGAAGUGUGGCUGAUGUUCAAUAUGUUGCUCAUCAGGCACUUCAUGCAAGUGCACUCCCGGUGCUUGAUAUGUGUAAGCAAUGGUUAGCUCAGUAUAUGUAAUAUAUGGCUGGGGGAAUUCACAUGUACUGUGGGCCUGCCUCUGCGCAUCUUCUGGUUAUGCGCUUGAUGUUUGAAGGUUAUAAGUUGAAUAAUAGCUUCUCAUGAGGAAAGCAAAGCGUACCUAAUACGGCUGCAAAAUCACGGUUGUCUCCCCCCCCCCCCCCACAAAACGAAAAAGCAUUGUAUAUCUGGUUGAGGUAUACAGACUUCAAGCUAGAUCCUAAAGACGGAUGUCGCUGCCUGCUAUCAGUCCAUAACCGAGUUGGAGAGCCUAGCAGCGAUUACACUAUCACAAGGUUCAGCCAAAGUAAUAAUUUGAUGGAGAUUCUGAGACUGGGACCACCUGAUUGUCAAAGACGAUGGUACUUGGAAUUUAUGAGGCACCAUAUGUAAAUUUGCUGCUAUUAGUCACGUGAUUUUAACACACAAUGUUUAUUUUAGGAUUUAAUUUAAAUCAGUUUAUUAGGAUAGCAUAGAAUGACAUCUUGCAAUUCAUAAGACCAAUCCCACUUAGAGGAAUAAGGUUUAUUGUCGUCGUCGUUAUUGUUAGGAUAUUCAGGUAGAUUUUCAGGGAUUGGUGUCACAACUCCCUUGCUGUCGUGUGUGCCUGUGUGUUCAACGCUGCUUCAGUGAAAAGCAAGCAGACAGAUCGAAAUUAAAUUCAUAUGGCAUCAGAAUCAUAAAAUGAUUGCAUUCUGUGGCUAAGUAAUAGCUUGAGUCGAAAAGCAAUUUAAUUAAAAUACAUGGAUUUGGCAGAA